rnacentral:rRNA from 1 species
AGAGAGAGACAUGCGCGCAUAUCAAUAAGCGGAGGAAAAGAAACUAACAAGGAUUCCCUUAGUAACGGCGAGUGAAGCGGGAAGAGCUCAAAUUUGAAAUCUUCAAGGUUUUACCUUGACGAAUUGUAGUUUAAAGAAGUGUUUUCUGCUGAAGUUUUGGUAAAAGUUCUUUGGAAUAGGACAUCAUAGAGGGUGAGAAUCCCGUAUUUGACCAUUAUUUUCAGCUUUGUGAUACACUUUCAAAGAGUCGGAUUGUUUGGGAAUGCAGUCCAAAAUGGGUGGUAAAUUUCAUCUAAAGCUAAAUAUUGGCGAGAGACCGAUAGCGAACAAGUACCGUGAGGGAAAGAUGAAAAGAACUUUGAAAAGAGAGUUAAACAGUACGUGAAAUUGUCAAAAGGGAAGCGUUUGACACCAGUGUUGCUAUCUCGAAAAUCAAUUAAAAAUGGCUCGAGUUUUGUAUUGUUGAGACCUUAAAAGCUCACUGUACAUUUUUCGUGUCUUUUUUAAUGCACUUUUCGUUUAACAAGUCAACAUCAGUUUCUUUUGUUGUAAAAGGGUCAUUGGAAGGUGGCUUUCUUUUCGGAGAAAGUGUUUAUAGCCUUUGGCCUCUGCAAUCGGAGAGACUGAGGUCUGCAGCGUAGACUCUUCGGGGUUAGAUACAUUUGUGCUAAGUUAUAGCUUUUUAUAGACAACUUGUUGACUAUAAUUAGUCUUGUAGCUUACUCGCUUAUGCUAUUUUACCUACGCUUAGGAUGUUGAGUCGUAGAGCACGCAG